rnacentral:ncRNA from 2 species
AUUAUUACACGCAAAGGUAAUAAUUAGAUAUUUUUUAGGAAACUGUUAAAUAUCUAUAUCGGGAGGAAAUGCACGAUAUA